AAUCAACGCUGGCGGCGUGCCUAACACAUGCAAGUCGAACGAGAAAGUGACUUCGGUCACUGGAUAGUGGCGUCCGGGUGAGUAACACGUGGGUAAUCUACCCUCGGGUGGGGAAUAACGUCUCGAAAGAGACGCUAAUACCGCAUAAUGCAGCGGCACCUAAUGGUGAAUAGUUGUUAAAGCGGGGGAUCGCAAGACCUCGCGCCUGAAGAGGAGCCUGCGGCAGAUUAGCUAGUUGGUGAGGUAAUGGCUCACCAAGGCUUCGAUCUGUAGCUGGUCUGAGAGGACGGCCAGCCACACUGGCACUGACACACGGGCCAGACUCCUACGGGAGGCAGCAGUGGGGAAUUUUGGGCAAUGGACGAAAGUCUGACCCAGCAACGCCGCGUGAGGGAGGGAAAUCCUUCGGGAUGUAAACCUCGCAAGCAAGGGAAGAAUGCUUGAGACCUAACACGUCUCAAGAGGGACGGUACCUUGCGUAAGCCACGGCUAA
rnacentral:rRNA from 1 species